GCCAAGGGCAGUGUGUCCCCCAGGAGUGCGGGAAGGGGAAGGUGUUGUGGGGAGCCCUGGACACCGCCCAGUGUUCUGCACUUAGGGAGGGGUCUUCAGUGGGCCCUGGAAGAGGGAGGUUUCUAGAGCAGCCCAGGGGGCCCUGAGCACCUUGUUCCUCCCAUCAGGACAAGGAAGGACUAGGCGCACAAGGUACCGCCUUAGGUGUGCUUCUCCAGAUGCUCAGUGAUGAGAUCUCUCUCGGCCUCACCCUGCGCCUGUGGGAUGUCUAUCUCAUGGAGGGGGAGCAGGUGCUGAUGCCCAUGAUGAGAUGCAUCCACAAGGUUCAGAGGAAGCGCCUCCUGAGAACAUCAAGGUCUGGCCUGUGGGCACGUUUUUGCGACCUAUUUUCGUGGACCUCAGUAUGGAAGGACGAAAAGGUCUUGAAAGAUCUUUGGGCCUCGAGGCAAAAACUCACCAAGAAGCACGAGGACCUGCCAUCCCCAGCCAAACCCGAGGAAGGGUCCUCGGCACCCAGGCCUGUGCUGGCUUCACCUGGCAGGAACACCCUCUGCAAGGGGGAUGGUCAGCCCCCUCCCAGCCCAGCAACCCGGUUCCAGCAGCACCCUGUGUCCAGCCCGGCCCUGGCUCAGGGAGGAUCUCGCCAUUCCUGGCGAUAUUUAGAAUGGAGUUCCAUGCCCCAGCUCCCGACGGACCUGGAUGUGGGCGGCCCUUGGUUCCCCCAUUAUCACUUCGAGCAAUCAUGCUGGGUCCGUGUCCAUUCCGACUGUGUCCUGGACAUCCCCGGGACCAUGGGACAGGCCUAGCCCAGGAAGCCCAUGGGGACCCCAACACCGGGCCCUGCCCAAGGCCCAUCAGGACUAAGAGGAAGGUUGGGAGAUAUCCCCACUGCAACAUGGGCACCUGUAUUUGGCCCCUUCGCCAAAUGACUGUGACUGGAAGGAGCCACGGAGCAGCCCGCCAGCUCUCAACCCUAACUCUAACCCUAACCCCUGACCCUAACACUAACCCCUGACCCUAACCCUAACCCUAACCUGAACCCUAACCCUAACCCCACAGCCCCAGACACCUUGGAAAAUCCCGUUCAAUGGGGAGGCUUGUCCCAUCAAGGCCACGAGAGAGAGAGAGAGGAGCAUGGCAUCCCCACAGCCCUGGCCAGCCAGCAGCAUGCCCCAGGGCUUCUGUACCAACCUGUGGGAGUGUUCCCCUCCUAGGGCACAAUUCCCAGGCCAAGAGGGGCCUGGCCUACACCCCCAGCCCUGGGAUGAGAGGGGCACUAGGGGUAUGUUGGGCUCCUAGCUGUAGUCAGCAUGACCAUGCCAGGGACCCUGGCACUGGGGAGCUCUGCCACUGUCCCAGAAGCUGGGCGAGGCUAAAAGCCUCGCAGCCACUGCUGCAGCCUGGCCACCACCAGUUGCCUUUCAGCUGCCAGUGCAGGCUUUCCCAGUACUCCCACCAAAGAGAAUUACGACAGAGGAUGAUGUUGGUCCUGAGCUGAGCAAAACAGCACACCCUGUGGAUGGAGCCGGCUUCUUUCCCGGCCACCUCGUUUGCUGCAUGGGCCCUUGGAAGAAGUGGCCUUGAGACGGGCAUGGGGACUAAAGAGGCUCAGCACCAUGCAUCUGCCGUUACCAAGGCUCACCAGGCUGACACCACUGCUGAGCACCCUAUUUGUGGAUGAGAUACACCCAGUAUCUGGGAUGGCACCAUUUCCCAGGAGGACCAGCUGGCCACCUGCUGACAGGCUGACCACCCUGCGGAGGGGUCGGAGAUUGGCUUUCUCUGCACUGAGCCACAAUGUGGGCAUGGACCUGCCGGCCCUGCAGUGCACGCGGCACUGAUUCCCACCAGGACACCCCAUUCACAGCCGGGGACGAGCAGCGGUGCGCUCCCACCUCAGGGCCUUGGCUCUGCCACCUCUGCUUGGAAUGUUCUCAGUUCUAGAAGCAUCUGGGCCAGGGCUCA
rnacentral:lncRNA from 1 species